rnacentral:piRNA from 1 species
UACAGAAAAUGGUUACUAUUACCGCAAG